AAGUUACAUUGUCAGUAUGAUAAAAGGUAUCACAUCAUUACUUUGUCCUUUUUACCUUAUUCAUUCACAGAUUGAAGUUUCCUGGAUUUCUGUCAAAAGAAUCGGUCUUUUAAGAAUAGAAAAGACCAAUGUCAUCUUUAUACAGUUUGAGAAUUCAUCUUGAGUAGUCCAGAGAUUAACAAUAUCAGUGAUAAUUGAGUCAACGGCGUCUAUGGAGUACACUAACAACAAAAUAGACCAAGGAACAAAAGGCAGCCCUUCCAUGCAUGCUUUCCCAGAAGUUGAAGAGAAGCAACAGGGAUAAUGCCUCCAAUACCAACAAAUUCAGACUCAUGGAGUCUCAGAUGUAACAGCUGUGAACCCCUCCUCACUUCCUACUGUCUCCUUUGCUGCUGUAUGUUAGCUUUCCUCCUAUCCUACUUACCUCACAUGAUUCAGACAUAUGGAAUUACAGAAGCUUGAGACAGUGUGGAAGCAGUCUUCUCAUUAUUGGCGGAUAUGUAUGCUGGUUGAAUGAAUGAGAGGAGACAGCAUCUUCUAGAGCUUGUAGUGGCAUAAGUAAACUGCACUACUGUGCAUAUAUUGAAAGUCACAAGCCUUAUUUUAAUUAUAUCUCUUUGUCAGAUCUGACUCAUUCCUGCACUUCUCCUCACCUCAGAAUUUAAGCUCAGAAAAACUAAAUUUUAUUUGAGUAACAGCUAGAGCAAGAUUUUAAAUAUAAAAAAUAAUAUCCUCAAGAGAGUUAGAGAAAACAAAACAAACUCUUUUCUAUUCAGUUCUCUCUGACUUUUAUGUGGGUACAGUCAGUUUGAUAACUGAGAGUCUAGGAGUCCUGCUGAGUUCCCCCUGCAUCCCUAGGAUUAUUUUUUUUCCCCAUCUUUUCUGAGGUGUAGGUGUUUCCCAGUCUUUCCUUCAGUCUUUUGAUCUCUCUAAAAAGCAAGCUAAGCAGAUCCAUACUGACUCUGUUGCACUCCUUUGGCCUUCCCAUCCUAUACUCUUUCCCUGAGUGUUCGGCAGCUCUUCAUAAGAACCUCCCUCAAGAAGUCCACCAAGACUCUUCAAAGAAAAUAAAGCCAACAUACAACAAACCUGUCA
rnacentral:lncRNA from 1 species